AGUCGAUAAUACUAAACCAUUCGCGAGAGUGGGGCGGAAAGCCUAAAGGGUCUCUCUGAGACAGCCAGGAUGCCGAA
rnacentral:ncRNA from 1 species